rnacentral:rRNA from 1 species
GUGGGGAAUAUUGGGCAAUGGGGGAAACCCUGACCCAGCAACGCCGCGUGAAGGAAGAAGGCUUUCGGGUUGUAAACUUCUUUUAUGAGGGACGAAGAAGUGACGGUACCUCAUGAAUAAGCCACGGCUAACUACGUGCCAGCAGCCGCGGUAAUACGUAGGUGGCAAGCGUUGUCCGGAUUUACUGGGUGUAAAGGGCGCGUAGGCGGGAUAGCAAGUCAGGUGUGAAAUCCGGGGGCUUAACCCUCGAACUGCACUUGAAACUGUUAUUCUUGAGUGAUGGAGAGGCAAGCGGAAUUCCUAGUGUAGCGGUGAAAUGUGUAGAUAUUAGGAGGAACACCAGUGGCGAAGGCGGCUUGCUGGACAUUAACUGACGCUGAGGCGCGAAAGCGUGGGGAGCAAACAGGAUUAGAAACCCCAGUAGUCC